UUUUGUGUGUUGUUUUUGGACAAGUUCAUUUUUUUCUGCUGACAUAGCGACCACACACAUCUUUCCUACACACCCUAAAAAGAAAUCCUCUUUCCCAUUCACGCUUUCACACUCACACAUCUUGCUCUUGCUCUUCCCCUUGCCUUAUCCCCUAUCCCACUCCAAAAUUGCUGCCGCCGGUAGCUCCCAUCAGCUUGAUUCCCUGAUUCAGUGCCUUGAGCUUGCUCGUCCUCACCUACAGCCAGCCCCGCAGCUUGAUUCAUUUGUGCGGCCAUAGCGUGACCUUCGACGGCGGCUGGUUUGUCUCUUGAUCUCCUCGUACGCCUCCUCGGUCUCCUCCUAGGCUGGUAAACGUCGAUGGAGUGGUAGGAGGGCCCAAGGUGCAGCUGCUCAAGGGAGGAGGCGAGAUCAUCAAUCUGCACGAUGUUGUUGCUGUCAAUGUCCGUGCAGGUGAUGUUGGCGUGGAUUUCGUCUCCCACAACUGCUUUGAUCCAUCUUUAGUAUCAGGAUGGUGGAGAUGUUUUCUGCCCCUAGAGCGCCAGCCAGACGCAUCCUCCACAUCGGCAACAUUCUUCGAAGUUUGAAGUGUGUUGCCUAACUGGGAACUAUUGGAUGUGGGGAGAGAAGAAACUUUACCUUGUUGUUGACCGAAAACAGUAGUAAAGCUCCAACCUCUAGGUAAAUAUCAUCCUUGACGAAGAGGUCGAAUUCUGGCCACUUAUAGGGUCUGUGUAUGGUGUGUAUCUCAAGUUCCAACUCUCACCUGAUUGGUCUUCUAAUCUCGCUCUAGCUGGCUGACAGGAGAAUUCAUAUGUUAAUAACAAUGCUCCAAGAGCAAUCCAACCAUCCAAGGCAUAUGGUUUUGGAGAUCAGCUGUUUGCAAAUACGGAAGGAAAAAUACCUUAUAACAGCUAGCUGUGGGGUGAAAGCAGAUGUGGUUUUGGAGAUCAGCAGUUUGCAAAUAUGGAAGGGAAAAUACCUUAUAGCAGCUAGCGGUGGGGUGAAAGUAGAUUGCAAUUUGAUUGCAAUAUUUUUUAUUCAGUUAUGUUUGCACGUGGCUGUACCACAUCAAAACUGAUUGAACCUUCCUAAUCUCGUCGCAAUUCUUUUGCCCUAUUUGCCAUACAUGCCUAUCUCUUGUGUAUUCAUUGAUUAAUUUUUGUUGA